rnacentral:rRNA from 1 species
CCUACGGGAGGCAGCAGUGAGGAAUAUUGGUCAAUGGACGAGAGCCUGAACCAGCCAAGUAGCGUGAAGGAUGACUGCCCUAUGGGUUGUAAACUUCUUUUAUAUGGGAAUAAAAUGUUCCACGUGUGGGAUUUUGUAUGUACCAUAUGAAUAAGGAUCGGCUAACUCCGUGCCAGCAGCCGCGGUAAUACGGAGGAUGCGAGCGUUAUCCGGAUUUAUUGGGUUUAAAGGGAGCGUAGGUGGAUUGUUAAGUCAGUUGUGAAAGUUUGCGGCUCAACCGUAAAAUUGCAGUUGAAACUGGCAGUCUUGAGUACAGUAGAGGUAGGCGGAAUUCGUGGUGUAGCGGUGAAAUGCUUAGAUAUCACGAAGAACUCCGAUUGCGAAGGCAGCUCACUGGACUGCAACUGACGCUGAGGCUCGAAAGUGAGGGUAUCAAACAGGAUUAGAUACCCUAGUAGUC